CUUUGCAAAUGCCAUCAAUAGUAAUGUUGAGAAGGAAAUUGCUCUGUCUCUUUCUGCUGCUAUAUGGAAAUAUUCAAUUCCGGCGAAAGAAGCCACAGACAACUGCAGUGGUUGGGCAGACAGCACAACGGAUAUUGUGGCAUGCGUGAACAGAGGGCAACGCUAUGAGCAGUGCAGGGUGCAGGGUAUGGUCCUGGUCGACAAUGAUAACAUCGCUGCACUGGUGAAAUACGCGAGAUCAAAAGACAUGAAUGCGUUUUGCAUACACAGUGCUGAACGGAUCCUGGACACACUCCCCCUCAACCGCAAAUUCCACCUCUUAAAUUUCACG